CCAAACUUGGUCAUUUAGAGGAAGUAAAAGUCGUAACAAGGUUUCCGUAGGUGAACCUGCGGAAGGAUCAUUAACAAUUAUCCUCAAUCAUGGAUAAUUUUAUCCAUAUCCACCUUGUGUGAAUUAUUGAAUGUUUAUUGGCAGAUUUUAAAGCCUUUCCGUUAUUAUCGGGAAGAACUUGUGAGUUGGCGCUGAUGUUUCAUUCAGUGUCCAGCUCGGCCUGCCAAUUUUAUUUGUUUAAACAUGUCUAAAUACUACUGGUCUGAAAUAUUUUAAAUAUAAUAAAAUACAACUUUCAACAACGGAUCUCUUGGCUCUCGCAUCGAUGAAGAACGCAGC
rnacentral:misc_RNA from 1 species